GAUGAACGCUGGCGGCGUGCCUAAUACAUGCAAGUCGAGCGAAUGGAUUAAGAGCUUGCUCUUAUGAAGUUAGCGGCGGACGGGUGAGUAACACGUGGGUAACCUGCCCAUAAGACUGGGAUAACUCCGGGAAACCGGGGCUAAUACCGGAUAACAUUUUGAACCGCAUGGUUCGAAAUUGAAAGGCGGCUUCGGCUGUCACUUAUGGAUGGACCCGCGUCGCAUUAGCUAGUUGGUGAGGUAACGGCUCACCAAGGCAACGAUGCGUAGCCGACCUGAGGUGGUGAUCGGCCACACUGGGACUGAGACACGGCCCAGACUCGUACGGGAGGCAGCAGUAGGGAAUCUUCCGCAAUGGACGAAAGUCUGACGGAGCAACGCCGCGUGAGUGAUGAAGGCUUUCGGGUCGUAAAACUCUGUUGUUAGGGAAGAACAAGUGCUAGUUGAAUAAGCUGGCACCUUGACGGUACCUAACCAGAAAGCCACGGCUAACUACAUGCCAGCAGCCGCAGUAA
rnacentral:rRNA from 1 species